rnacentral:snoRNA from 1 species
AUCCAAGGUGAUUCCCUCUCCGAGGGGCCAGCUAGUGCCCGCCUCAGGAAAGUAGCAACUUGGAAUAAAAUCAGGCAUGCCUAAGGUCUCUUUGGGGGACAGAGGAUGCUUGUUUCCUUUGCCUUCCCUUGGCUGCCUACAUGU